AUACGUAGGGAGCAAGCGUUAUCCGGAUUUACUGGGUGUAAAGGGCGCGCAGGCGGGAAGACAAGUUGGGAGUGAAAUCCGGGGGCUCAACCCCCGAACUGCUUUCAAAACUGUUUUUCUUGAGUGAUGGAGAGGCAGGCGGAAUUCCCAGUGUAGCGGUGAAAUGCGUAGAUAUUGGGAGGAACACCAGUGGCGAAGGCGGCCUGCUGGACAUUAACUGACGCUGAGGCGCGAAAGCGUGGGGAGCAAACAGGAUUAGAUACCCUGGUAGUCCACGCCGUAAACGAUGGAUACUAGGUGUGGGAGGUAUUGACCCCUUCCGUGCCGGCGUUAACACAAUAAGUAUCCCACCUGGGGAGUACGAUCGCAAGGUUGAA
rnacentral:rRNA from 1 species